rnacentral:tRNA from 1 species
GGAAAGGUGGUCGAGUGGUCUAAGGCACCGGUCUUGAAAACCGACGAGGCGCAAGUCUCCGUGAGUUCGAAUCUCACCCUUUCCGCCA